UAUAAAUUUUAUUUUAGUUUAAAAGUUAGUAACUAUAUUAGAUGUAUAUGAAAUUAAAAUUUAAAAAUAUUAUAUUAUAAAAAUUUAACAUCUAAAAUUUUGAAACUAGUGUAAUCUAAUAAAAGAAUUUAUUUAAAUACCAACUAAUUAGGUGCCAGCAGUUGCGGUUAAACCUAAAGUCAACUAACUUACACGUCUAAAUAAAUUAUAUAAGUUAAAGAAGAUAUUUAAAGAUAAAUUUUAAGUAAGUGAAAUUUUUAAAAUUUCAAAAGCUCUUAAUAAUAAAGAUUUAGAUUUCUGUAAAAAACUAGGAUUAGAUACCCUACUAUUUAGAAAAGAUGAUAAUUAAGGUAGUAAAAGAUAGUCUUCAAACUUAAAAAAUUUGGCGGUAGCUUAACCUAACUAGAGGAAUCUGCCCUAUAAUUGACAAUCCACAAUCUGUUAAAUUUUAAAUAUAUAUAUUUAUAUAUCGCUGUUAAAUAUAAAUUAAAAAGUAGUUAUUUAAAAUUUGUUUAAACUCAGAAAAUCAAGUCAACACAUAAUUAUUAGAAAAUGAAGUGGAUUACAUUUAAAUUAAUUUAAUGAUAAACUAGAUAAUAAAAGCUUGAAAGGGAUUUAGAAGUAAAUUUAACCAGGUUGUUUAUUUGAAUUUGUUAUAGGCUAUGUACAAAUCGCCCGUCAUUCUUAUAUAAAUUAAGACAAGUCGUAACAAAGUAAAAUUACUGGAAAGUAAUAUUAGAUU